GCAGGGCUGGUGGUGAAGGGCAUGCCAGCCUGUGCCCUGCAGAGCAGCUCUGAGCCGAGAGGAAGUGCUGGCACACAGGGGACACUGGAACCUGGGAAAUAAAGCAGGAAGAGAAGUCUUAGAAGAGGGUCCGGGAAGGGGGGUGGGAACACUGGUCUAAUCCUGUGACCCGAGAUGGAUGGUGGCUCCCAUUUCAAAGACGUUAAUGAUGUGAACAGGCUCCCCCAGGCCCUAAGUCUCUGUUCCUUUUGCUACACUACGUUAGGCUAGACUGCUUCCAACCACUGCUGCAUGGAAGCGUGAGUUGCUUUUGGAACUUCUGGGCCUCAUCCGUGCAACAAACACUUGCACACCUGACGCUCUUCUGGGCCUGGAGUUUUGAGUACUGUCGUCCCAGCCCUUAUGAGACUUCAAGUCUACCUCGUUUUGACAGGAUGGGACUGAUAAUACCUCCAGCACCAUGCUCAGGUGCUAUCCCCAGCACCAUGCUCGGGAUAGAUUCAUCCCCAAAUUCUUCCUUUUAUUGAACCCAUUCUCUCCCCACCUGUAACUCUAGUUCUACCCCUGGAGCACUUCGUUCCUAGGACGGACCCUCAUGUAGAGACAGCAUCACUGUGAGACCAGCAGGCCUUGCUUCUCUGCUCCAGAUCCAAACGGGCACUCUGCACUAAGUAAGUGGUUCCUGGUCUCAACCGUCAGCAACCUCAGGCCUGGAUGCAGUUGGAUACAAAGCGAUGAAGCCCAGUGGCUUUCAUGACAAGAAGUAUGUAUCUAAACUAGCUCCAAGCAAUUCCAAUGACUGCGUCCAAACCCAACAGGCAACACCACCUCACAGGUGACACUGCCUGUCUCCCCACCGUUUAUUAGCAUCUUGGGGCUGGUUUCCACACAGUCCAACCUCCUCCAGACCUGUGUUCUGCAGAAGAGCUAAGGCCCUGCUCCCCAAGGGCCAUGAUACAGAGAAACAGCUGCCUCUUCAGGCCAAGUGCUUACACCAAUGGCAUUUACAAGCUCAAAUCAAUCUGAGCCAGUCCACAGGACACCCCCUCACCCCAGUCUCACCUGGCUCCAGCCCUGUGACCACACCUUGUCCCACUGCCAUGAUGUGCUAGAAUCUGUUCUAAAUGACAGUGUGUUAGAAUGGUUCCGAGCAGCCUGGAAAGGUUGGCACAAUCACAGCUGUGUGUUACUGUGCCAAAAUGGGGCUACGAUGGAGGGUGACGGCAAGCCUGUCUCUUCUACAACAUACACCUCGGGGCGGGGGGGGGGGGUCUGCCCUCUCCCCGCUCCUACCCAGAUCCCCUGGCCUGCGCUUCCUGAACGAGGUAGAAGAGGCAUCUUGAAGUCAAUGAGAGUGGAGAAUAAAGGUGUCAUUUAAGCAGCAAA